UACAGAGGAUGCAAGCGUUAUCCGGAAUUAUUGGGCGUAAAGCGUCUGUAGGUGGCUUUUUAAGUCCGCCGUCAAAUCCCAGGGCUCAACUCUGGACAGGCGGUGGAAACUGCCAAGCUGGAGUACGGUAGGGGCAGAGGGAAUUUCCGGUGGAGCGGUGAAAUGCGUAGAGAUCGGGAAGAACACCAACGGCGAAAGCACUCUGCUGGGCCGACACUGACACUGAGAGACGAAAGCUAGGGGAGCGAAUGGG
rnacentral:rRNA from 1 species